UUAUAAUACAUAUAGUGAGCUAGUUAAUAACAGGAAGUCUAGUUUCCAGCAUACUCGUGAUUUGUGUUGUUUACAUAUUAUAAGCCAAAAGAAAAUAAAUAUUUUUUCUUCAAAUCAAGGUGAUUUUCAGUGUUGUACCAUUGAUCUGAGCCAGUCUCGAAACGCCUUACAACUAAUUAGGCCCCGAUUUGCAGAUUCCUAUCGUCAAUGUCAUCGGUUCUGCAGCUAUUAUUUUUAGAAUAUAUUUCAUCGCACUGUUUGGGUUUGACGCUUGU